rnacentral:misc_RNA from 1 species
GUUGAGUUGAGUUGAGUUGUUGAGAGACUGAUUGUUCUAUGCUAACUUCUGGUAUAAAUUUUAUUUCCCUUUUUAGGCUGGUGGUGAUCCCUUAUAAAAGCCUAAUAAGAGGGAAGGAGAAACUAACAAAACUGCAUAAAACUAAUAAAUAGAAUGGGGAAAAAAAAUCUUCACAUAUGAGCACACACAAAGUUUUAAGGUUCUCCAACAAACUAGCCCGGUCCCAUUACACCAUAUUUGAAAAUUAACAAGAUUUCUGGAUAAAGACAAACAACAAAAGAUGUCACUGCAUGCUAGUGUUAUGCAAAUGAUGAAAGGUUUAAUACCUCUUUGGUACUACAAUCACUU